rnacentral:rRNA from 1 species
GUGGGGAAUAUUGGACAAUGGGCGAAAGCCUGAUCCAGCCAUGCCGCGUGUGUGAAGAAGGUCUUCGGAUUGUAAAGCACUUUAAGUUGGGAGGAAGGGCAGUAAGUUAAUACCUUGCUGUUUUGACGUUACCGACAGAAUAAGCACCGGCUAACUUCGUGCCAGCAGCCGCGGUAAUACGAAGGGUGCAAGCGUUAAUCGGAAUUACUGGGCGUAAAGCGCUCGUAGGUGGUUUUGUAAGUUGGAGGUGAAAUCCCCGAGCUCAACCUGGGAACUGCCUCCAAAACUGCAUGACUAGAGUACGGUAGAGGGUAGUGGAAUUUCCUGUGUAGCGGUGAAAUGCGUAGAUAUAGGAAGGAACACCAGUGGCGAAGGCGACUACCUGGACUGAUACUGACACUGAGGUGCGAAAGCGUGGGGAGCAAACAGGAUUAGAUACCCUAGUAGUCC